rnacentral:rRNA from 1 species
GACGAAGGGGGCUAGCGUUGUUCGGAAUUACUGGGCGUAAAGCGCGUGUAGGCGGUUGUCCAAGUUGGAUGUGAAAGCCUUGAGCUCAACUCAAGAAAUGCAUUCAGGACUGGAUGACUAGAGGACCGGAGAGGAUAGUGGAAUUCCCAGUGUAGUGGUGAAAUACGUAGAGAUUGGGAAGAACACCAGUGGCGAAGGCGGCUAUCUGGACGGUUUCUGACGCUAAGACGCGAAAGCGUGGGGAGCGAUCCGG